rnacentral:tRNA from 4 species
GCCCGCGUAGCUCAGUUGGAUAGAGCAUCGGAUUUCUACUCCGAGGGUCAGGGGUUCGAAUCCUCUCGCGGGCACCA